GACGAACGCUGGCGGCGUGCUUAACACAUGCAAGUCGAACGGAAAGGCCCUGCUUUUGUGGGGUGCUCGAGUGGCGAACCGGUGAGUAACACGUGAGUAACCUGCCCUUGACUUUGGGAUAACUUCAGGAAACUGGGGCUAAUACCGGAUAGGAGCUCCUGCUGCAUGGUGGUGGUUGGAAAGUUUCGGCGGUUGGGGAUGGACUCGCGGCUUAUCAGCUUGUUGGUGGGGUAGUGGCUUACCAAGGCUUUGACGGGUAGCCGGCCUGAGAGGGUGACCGGCCACAUUGGGACUGAGAUACGGCCCAGACUCCUACGGGAGGCAGCAGUGGGGAAUAUUGCACAAUGGGCGGAAGCCUGAUGCAGCAACGCCGCGUGCGGGAUGACGGCCUUCGGGUUGUAAACCGCUUUCGCCUGUGACGAAGCGUGAGUGACGGUAAUGGGUAAAGAAGCACCGGCUAACUACGUG
rnacentral:rRNA from 1 species